UUGGAGGGCAAGUCUGGUGCCAACACCCGCGGUAAUUCCAGCUCCAAUAUCGUAUAUCAAAGUUGUUGCAGUUAAAAAGCUCGUAGUUGAAUUUUCGACUUUGUCGGUUGGUCGGGCUUCACUGUCCGCACUGGCCUGAUGGAUUCCUACCUUCUGAAUAACCAGCAUGCUAUUAAGUUAGUGCGUUGGGGAAGCAGAGCUAUUACCUUGAAAAAAUUAGAGUGCUUAAAGCAGGCUUUUGCUUGAAUAGAUUACCAUGGAAUAAUAAAAUAGGACGGCAUGGUUCUAUUUUGUUGGUUUCUAGGAUCACCGUAAUGAUUAAUAGGGAUACUUGGGGGCAUUAGGAUUCAAUUGUCCUACGUGAAAUUCUUGGAUUUAUUGAAGACUAACUACUGCGAAAGCAUUUGCCAAGGAUGUUUUCGUUAAUCAAGAACCAAAGUUAGGGGAUCGAAUACGAUCAUAUACCGUCAUAUUCUUAACCGUAAACUAUGCCGACUAGGGAUCGGAUGAUGCUUAUUUUUUAAUGACUCGUUCGGCGCCUUACGGGAAAC
rnacentral:rRNA from 1 species